rnacentral:rRNA from 1 species
AUUUUCUUUUUAUUUAAGCGAUUCCUUGUGAAUUUAUAUAGUAAAGCAGCUAUAAUGAUCCCUAAUAUUGCAGCUCCCGACACUAUCAUAAUCAUUGAUGUUAAAGAAAUCCCGCCUUUUGAGCUGCUUUUAUUGGGAACAUAAUUUGAUUUUGC